rnacentral:lncRNA from 1 species
CUGGUCAGACUUGGCUUAUCUUGAAACCAUUAUCCCUGGAAAUAGCUAUUUCAUUAUGACACUGUUAGCCUGUUCCCUGUCAGGAAACAAUGGCUGUUAAGUUUGACUGUUCUUCUCCUCUUAGGGAAUGGCAAUGCUCUGUGAAACGAUAGAAGAAUGCUGGGAUCAUGAUGCAGAAGCCAGGUUAUCAGCUGGAUGUGUAGGUGAAAGAAUUACUCAGAUGCAAAGACUAACAAAUAUAAUUACUACAGAGGACAUUGUAACAGUGGUCACAAUGGUGACAAAUGUUGACUUUCCUCCCAAAGAAUCUAGUCUAUGAUGGUUGCACCAUCUGUCCACACUGAGAAUCGGGACUCUGAACUGGAGCUGCUAAGCUAAGGAAACUGCUUAGUUUAUUUUCUGUGUGAAAUGAGUAGGGUGCCUCCGGGACACGUAUGCAAGCAGCCCCUUGUGGAAAGCAUGGAUUGGGAGACUUCCUGCAGCGUCUGCAACACGGAUAUGAAGGGGGUCUAAGGGGAAACUGCGAACUGUAAAGAACUUCUGAAAACUUACACGAAGAAUGUGGCCCUCUCCAAAUCAAGGAUCUUUUGGACCUGGCUAAUCAAGUAUUUGAAAACUGACAUCAGAUUUCUUAAUGUCUGUCAGAAGACACUAAUUCCUUAAAUGA